CAACCAGCAGAAACUCGGCAUCAUUCGGCAGCUGUCGUUGAACGCACAUGCGCAGUUGCCCACUGACGAGUCAGGACAUGCUUUGAACGAGGCGGUAAACCCUUAACAACACGGCGGCUGCUGCAGCGAAGUUGUGUCACGGACUGCGAAGACCCAGACAUGUCUCACACCCCCAUCAGGAACCUGACCGUCAUUCCUGAGGACAGACAAUCCUCCCCUGACUCACUGCACCUUCAGGCUUCAGGUACUGCAAUCAUUUUGGAAGGAAGAAUGGUCAUUGAUGACCUUGAAAAUCUACCACAUGCCAUGUGCUUGCUCUUUGGACUUACUUACGCUCUGAAUUUGGAGUACCCUCAACAACUGAAGCACACCUUUGACUUCAUCCAAAGGGUGCUUCUCUCACUUGGACAUAAAUCCCUAAAACCAAAAAUACAAUCACUCAAAAAUCUUAUGAUGCAAUGAGUGAAUGUGUUCACAAUGUGGAUGUGACGUGACAUUAUGGGUCAAGCGGAUACCUUUACCCUUAUUGGAAAAGUGAUAUUUAUUUCUUGUUUGAUCCUUUUUUUCGGGAGGGAGCCUCAUCAUACUACUAAAUGGUUUUAUGUUCAUUUUUCCUUUUGUGUUAAUGCUGACAUGAUUGUGAUAUUGAUUACCAGCAUCAGGCUCUUUAGCCAGUUAUGUCAGACUUAAUAUCUGUUGAAAGUCAAUCUCUAGUGCACUUCUAAAUUCAUCCACUCAGAAUUUAAAUCAGAACACUCUGAGCAGGUCUAGCAGGAGCUGUCCUAAACAGCAGGAUUACAGUUGCACAUUUAGUUGAAAUAGUGCUCUUAUUUUGCAGUCAUGCAAUAGGUGGAUUAGAAACAGUUGAGAUAUAUUUGCUGUUCACUUUAUUGAUGUUAUGAUAAAUGUUAGGCCCUGUAAUUGAGAAUUUAGUUCUUCUAUGGUUUGUUUAACACCAUAGUCAACAGAGACAUUUAAGCAGGGAUUCUCAAAGUUUUAAAGACUGAGGGCCGUUUUAAGGAUUCAAAAUUAGAUUGAAGGCCGCCCUAGAAAAAAGUCACGUGUCAUUUUCUUCAGAAAACGUCUAUGGAAAAGUUUGUUUCCAGGUUAGUGUGUAUGUAACCACACUUGAGAACCCCUGUAUUUAAGGUAAACUUAAAUAGUCUUCAGCCUGGACCCUAUUUCUACAUGUAUUUGUGUUCAGAACACAUUUUUUUAAUUAUUAAACUUUGUUUUCCAUUCAAACUGUUGUCUGUUGUCUCUUCGUUUCAAUAACUUAUCACUUUUGGUUCAGCUUACUUGAACAUAUCAAGGCAAUCGGUUUCCUGAUAUUUUGCUAGUGAUGUGAACUUGUAAAACUUGUAAGGAUAACUUAUUUUUAUGAGUGCUGCUUAAUUAACAUAACUCACAAGUUUAAGUAGUCCAAUUUGACAUUUUAUAGUCAACCUAACUAAUGAUUUUGAGUUAACUAUACUUAAGUUUACUGCCAUUGUGGCGUCAAACAAGUGUGAGCAUAGGACCAGCAUCUGUGGAGGAACUCCAGGCCUGAAGGGGGCAGAGAGAGCUCACCCAGACACCCAACAGACAGGAUGCAACCCAUGUUUUUGGAGGGACCGAUUUCACCUGCGCACCUCUAAUCAAUCUAAUCUAAAUCUAAUCAGUAUAAAAUGUUUGGAGGUAGCUUGGUGAGCCCUCUUUGCUCGGUCUCCUCAGCCUACUGACAGCUCAUGUUCAACCACAGACGCAACUGGUAUGGACUUCAAAUAUUUAGUUUGAAAGAAUCAUAUGUUUGCUGUUUUCUGUUUGAUUUUGAUCUGUUUUGAAUUUAAAUGAGAUGUUUAGUUUAAUGAUCAUGAUUGAUGCAUACUGAUGUGGAAUGUAAUUUGCCUUUUUGUUUCUUAAAGGUUAUCAACCUAUUCUUCCUCUGGAAUUUCACUUUGUGCCAUCAAUCUGAAAGAAAAUAAAUCACCAGAACGGAA